ACUGCGCACAGUCUAUCGCUCAACCACCACAAUCUAUCGUCCAUCUAUUAUUAUUAAUUAAAACAACGCAGCGCGUGGAGGUGGAGGAAAAUUUGUGAAAAGUGCAAAAACGCAGCGCGUGAAGCAAGUUGGCGACAUCGAUCGUGUAUAUUAUUAAUUAAAAUUCCGUCAAGCCGAGUGUUGUGCUCUACCUCGGCUAAAUCAAAUCAAAAUCAACGUCUGUCAAACAUACAUACAUACAUGCAUACUUACAUAUUGAAUACGUAUCUUUCGUAUUCAAAUUCAUUCAUCGAGUGACUUCCAGUGCCCGCCUAAAAUAUUAAUUGUAUUGCUGAUGAUGAUGAUGAGUGCCAGAAUUUGUGAUAAAAUAUAAAAUGAAGUGAAUAAAAGGGGCAGCAGCGCAAAAUGUGAUACAACAUGAAGACUUAACAGCCUACACAGAUAUCUGUGAAUAUAUUUACAUGCAAAAUGAAUUUGUGCAGCAAAAUAUGUGUUUAUUGUAAUGCAAAUGAUUUGUGCCUUAGUGAAGAAUUUAGCGAGUGGUAAAUAAAAACAUAACAAAACAACAACAAAAACAACGACAAUAAAACCUAAUAAAGCUUAAUAGACGCAUACUUACCUUAAGCCGGGGCUAGUAAGUAGUUCAUCAUAAAA